UCUUCGGAUGGAGUUUUUGCCAUGGCCCCACCGGGGAAGCAGAAAGGCAACACUAGCAGGGAAUGGAAUGGAAGGCGCUGUGGCCCUCGAUGGACACAGGAUCCACCGUGACACGAGACGCUGUGCAGCAGUAGAAGAUGCUAAACUGGGACAGCGACAAAGUCCUCAAGAAGUGGAAGCUCAGACAAGAAAUGGAGGUUUAGAACUUAGAUUGUGGGUUUGGGGAGGGAGGAAGCAGGGAGAAGUUAAGGAAAUAAGAGGGGUGCGCAGGCGGGGCAGACAGCGUAGGAAGAAAAGUAGAGCACACUCAGCUUUUAAGAAGUUCGUCUUCAAAGACUCACGGAUGGUGGUGGUGUUCAGUUGCUAAGUUGUGUCCGAUUCCUUGCAACUCCAUGGACUGCAGCACACCAGGCUUCCAGG
ensembl:lncRNA